UACGGAGGGUGCGAGCGUUAAUCGGAAUUACUGGGCGUAAAGGGUGCGUAGGUGGUUAAUUAAGUUAUCUGUGAAAUCCCUGGGCUCAACCUGGGCAGGUCAGAUAAUACUGUUUAACUCGAGUAUGGGAGAGGGUAGUGGAAUUUCCGGUGUAGCGGUGAAAUGCGUAGAGAUCGGAAGGAACACCAGUGGCGAAGGCAGCCCCCUGGGUCGACACUGACGCUCAUGCACGAAAGCGUGGGGAGCAAACAGG
rnacentral:rRNA from 1 species